CUCAUGGGAUGUUCUGAAGAUUAAUGUGUCUCUUUCAGGGCACUAAGGUACAUUUAGAGCACUAAAGAAGUCAUUUACUAAAUGGUGCCCUUGGGACUUGAAAGAGUUAAUGUACCUCUCACAAGGAUCAACCACAGAAGAACACUUCUUGGUCCUCCCCCUUCAUCAGACACAGCUACAUUUCUGACAAGAGUUCUUGCCCACCCCUGCCUUGUCUCCAUGAAGAAUAAUUUGUUCCUGUGGGGCACACUGCCCAGAUAUGAUACAAAGAAAAUGCACAACUGAGCCAAGUCUAAGACUCCUUGAAUAACACCUCUUGGCUAUGGAUGCUGACUACAAUCAGAUUCAAAGUAAUCAAUGGGACCUGAUCUCUACUUAGAAGUGUAAAGCAACAAGGGACAAAGUCUCUUCAAAGUGCCUCAGGGACAAGAAAGGUAAGGAUAUUGCAGAAGAGAAGAAAAAAAUUAAGAAAAAA